rnacentral:rRNA from 1 species
GGCGAAAGCCGGAUUAAUACCGCAUACGCUCUACGGAGGAAAGGGGGGGAUCUUCGGACCUCUCGCUACAGGGGCGGCCGAUGGCAGAUUAGCUAGUUGGUGGGGUAAAGGCCUACCAAGGCGACGAUCUGUAGCUGGUCUGAGAGGACGACCAGCCACACUGGGACUGAGACACGGCCCAGACUCCUACGGGAGGCAGCAGUGGGGAAUUUUGGACAAUGGGCGCAAGCCUGAUCCAGCAAUGCCGCGUGUGUGAAGAAGGCCUUCGGGUUGUAAAGCACUUUUGUCCGGAAAGAAAACUUCUGCCCUAAUACGGCGGGAGGAUGACGGUACCGGAAGAAUAAGCACCGGCUAACUACGUGCCAGCAGCCGCGGUAAUACGUAGGGUGCAAGCGUUAAUCGGAAUUACUGGGCGUAAAGCGUGCGCAGGCGGUCCGCUAAGACAGAUGUGAAAUCCCCGGGCUUAACCUGGGAACUGCAUUUGUGACUGGCGGGCUAGAGUAUGGCAGAGGGGGGUAGAAUUCCACGUGUAGCAGUGAAAUGCGUAGAGAUGUGGAGGAAUACCGAUGGCGAAGGCAGCCCCCUGGGCCAAUACUGACGCUCAUGCACGAAAGCGUGGGGAGCA